AACGAACGCUGGCGGCAGGCCUAACACAUGCAAGUCGAACGCCGUAGCAAUACGGAGUGGCAGACGGGUGAGUAACACGUGGGAACAUACCCUUCGGUUCGGAAUAACUCAGGGAAACUUGAGGCUAAUACCGGAUACGUCCGCGAGGAGAAAGAUUCAUCGCCGGAGGAUUGGCCCGCGUCUGAUUAGCUUGUUGGUGAGGUAACGGCUCACCAAGGCGACGAUCAGUAGCNGGUCUGAGAGGAUGAUCAGCCACAUUGGGACUGAGACACGGGCCCAAACUCCUACGGGAGGCAGCAGUGGGGAAUAUUGGACAA
rnacentral:rRNA from 1 species